rnacentral:snRNA from 1 species
CGCGAGUUCUAUCGGGUAA